CAGUAGCGGACGUGGCUGGUGCGCGGCCCGCGCCGUUCCGCAAUGCGUCCAUUGGAGUUUCUCAGGAAAGGCCAAGUGUUCUGUUUUUCCCCCACAAAUAUAAUUUUCUGCUUACGGUUAGACGUGACCUCGAAAUGGGCAGCCUACUUCAUACCUAUUCCACAUAUAUCAUCUGACAAGUAGAGAAAACAAGGCAUUAAUCUUUCCUCUAGACUUGUGACAAAGUCUUCAGCAGACACUUGAGCUCGACUGACUGACACCACGUCUGCACAGAGGGAUAUUUGGAGGCAUCUGAUGGAUGUCCAAGCUGCUCUUUUCAACGCAAGUGAAUGGUGACUACAGCUGUCAAGCACUUUUCAAGAUGCUCAAAAACACACCUCUUUGAUCCGGGUUCGAAGACCUCCAUGAAUCUGCUGGUACCUCUUCCACCUGAUGUUCGGAGACCACUUACAGGGGAAACAGGAAGAGGCCAUGUUCAGACUGCCUGUAGAUCAGCUAACGUGGAUUGAGCCAUGCAACGUUUUCCGAAGACAGAAGAGAAACUUAAUGAGAGGAGACAGAAGUCCUAUUUAAAAGUAAAUAAGACGGGUAAUUAAUUCUCAGAUCGCACAGUAUCUCAUAUAAAG
rnacentral:lncRNA from 1 species